rnacentral:rRNA from 1 species
GAUGAACGCUGGCGGCGUGCUUAACACAUGCAAGUCGAACGGGAAACCUUUUAUUGAAGCUUCGGCAGAUUUAGCUGGUUUCUAGUGGCGGACGGGUGAGUAACGCGUGGGUAACCUGCCUUAUACAGGGGGAUAACAGUCAGAAAUGGCUGCUAGUACCGCAUAAGCGCACAGAGCUGCAUGGCUCGGUGUGAAAAACUCCGGUGGUAUAAGAUGGACCCGCGUUGGAUUAGCUUGGUGGUGGGGUAACGGCCCACCAAGGCGACGAUCCAUAGGCGGCCUGAGAGGGUGAACGGCCACAUUGGGACUGAGACACGGCCCAGACUCCUACGGGAGGCAGCAGUGGGGAAUAUUGCACAAUGGGGGAAACCCUGAUGCAGCGACGCCGCGUGAAGGAAGAAGUAUCUCGGUAUGUAAACUUCUAUCAGCAGGGAAGAUAGUGACGGUACCUGACUAAGAAGCCCCGGCUAACUACGUGCCAGCCGCCGCGGUAAUAC